GGCCUGGUGGUCUAGUAGUAUGAUUCCUUCUUAGGGUCUUGAAACACAUUUGGAGAAGGUCCCGGGUUCAAUUCCCUGUCAGGCCC